GAUGAACGCUGGCGGCGUGCCUAAUACAUGCAAGUCGAACGAGGUGCUUGAGUAGCAAUACAAGAGUAUCCUAGUGGCGAACGGGUGAGUAACGCGUGGGUGACCUGCCCCGAAGUGUGGGAUAACAGUCCGAAAGGAUUGCUAAUACCUCAUGUGGUUAUCGGAUUUAGAAACUGAUAACUAAAGCAGCAAUGCGCUUUGGGAGGGACCUGCGUCCCAUCAGCUAGUUGGUGAGGUAACGGCUCACCAAGGCUACGACGGGUAGGGGACCUGAGAGGGUGACCCCCCACAAUGGAACUGAAACACGGUCCAUACACCUACGGGUGGCAGCAGUAGGGAAUAUUGCACAAUGGGCGAAAGCCUGAUGCAGCAACGCCGCGUGUGCGAUGAAGGCCCUCGGGUCGUAAAGCACUUUUCUGAGAGAUGAGUAAGGACAGUAUCUCAGGAAUAAGUCUCGGCUAACUACGUGCCAGCAGCCGCGGUAAAGUAG
rnacentral:rRNA from 1 species